GUAGUGACGUCAGCCGACUCAUACUUGCAAACUGUAACUGGCACAGUCAAAGUGAGAUUCCUAAGCAGAAGAAAAGCUAGCAGCAGUAACCAGAGAACGUAUAUUUAUAGAGAAGGUCCUACAACGGACAAGCGUGUGAACUGUCAAAAGCUAACAAAAUGCGAUGAGCGUGUUUCACCAGAGCUAGCUAAGAAAGAGAAAUUUUAACAGUGGCGCGUGAACAGAUCUGAGCAUUUAAUGAAAAUUAUGCGCAGAAAUAUACAUUGCUGUUACAGACGUAUGUUGGCCCUUUGCUUAUAUUUUUAUACGUUUACAAACCAUCAUAUUAAUUAAGGGUAUUCCAUCAAACUCAUAAAUGACUCAUAAAAUUCUUAAACUCAUAAAAUUCUGUGCCUUAUAAAUGAGCUGUCAAAAUUUGUAUGAAAAAAUGUUUACGCGUUUCGUAUAAAACUAUGAGGCAAAUUCGAAGCGUAUUUGCUUCAUAAACUGAUAUUUUGUUUUAGUGUUGCCAUUACACAAAAAUAAUUUACAUUUAGUGCUUCAAAAAAGUAAAGUUUUUAGUGCAGGCAACACUACUUGCAAAGAAAAAAAGAACGGUGAAACAUUUGAGCUUGUUACAAAAUUUUGUUUAAUUUAAAGAAAUAAAAACCAUCUGAAACCUUUGUAUAAUGAGUGCAUCAGAAUUAGAAGAAAAGGUCAAAGCUAAGCGCUUCCGGGCAGCACCAAAACAUUGUUGGAGCAGUGAGCAAACUAUGUAGAAGCCUUUUAGAGGAAGUGCGCGGAGAAAUAAAAGACCGCCCGGAGUCAUUUGAGAAGCCUAUUGCACAAAAAUUUUAUUCGAAAAUAUCUGCUAAGUGCCCUUUGCUCGCAAACAUUAAUUGGAAAGUGAUGAAGAGCAAAAUGCGCUAUUUAAAAGGAAUAUAUAUGGAGGCCGUGAAAUGGCGUAGUCAAACAGGAGCUGGAUUAAUUGAAAAUGGAGAAGUAGAAAGCGUCAAGGGUAUUUUAUUUUCUUUGUCUUCUAAAUACGAAAUUAAAUUAAACCAAGUUUCGCAGACUACAUUCAAAAUAUUUGUCCCUUCUUCGAAAUACUGGACGAGAUUUUUGGGCUCAGAAAGUCCCUGAACCCUACGGUUAUAAUUGAGAGUAGCAAUAUAGAAGUCCUCUAUGAAGACAGCGAGGAGGUUUUUUUAAUUGAUAAUGUUGAUGAUAUUUCAAAAAAUUGCUCGAGUUCACGUAUAUCAGCCAGUACUCCUAUUCCGCCCGAUACUCCACAGCCAGACGUUCAUUUAUCACUGGAAUUAUCAUCGAACAAUGCAAGCAGCUUCAACGGCGACUCUGAGAUUGAGAAUAAAAAAAAAAGAAUGAGAUCGAAACACAGCCUAAAGAAAAAGCAAAAUGCAUGCAAGCUAUGCCGGCGUAUUACAAGGAAUGCUUGAAGCAAAAUUGGAUUUGGAAAGAAAAAGAAAAACAGGAAUUGGAGAUGAAAAAGAUAGAGAUUGAACGUGAUGAACGACUUGCUUUGGCGAAAAUGAAAUUAGAAAAUGAAAUAGAAGAAAAACUCAAAAUGUACGAACUAGAGUUAAAAUAUAAAAAAGCAUAAGAACUUCUAAAUCCUCACAUAUAUUUUGUGUCUUUAAAGAUUACAUAUAUACAAAUAAAGAAGACCUUAACAGUU